rnacentral:rRNA from 1 species
UACAGAGGGUGCAAGCGUUGUUCGGAAUUAUUGGGCGUAAAGCGCGUGUAGGCGGCCUUGCAAGUCGGGUGUGAAAGCCCUCAGCUCAACUGAGGAAGCGCGCCCGAAACUGCAGAGCUUGAGUACCGGAGAGGAUGGCGGAAUUCCCCAAGUAGAGGUGAAAUUCGUAGAUAUGGGGAGGAACACUGGUGGCGAAGGCGGCCAUCUGGACGGAUACUGACGCUGAGACGCGAAAGCGUGGGGAGCAAACAGG